GUCAAACACCCGGCUCUCCUCUCCACCAGGCUCCCACGCCCACCACACAGCCUGUAGCCCCGGCGGAGCUAUGGGCUCUGACUCCGCCUCUUUCCAAAUCCGGAGUAGUUCGUGCCACAGUCGUCCUCGGAACCCUGUGGCCCCUUCCUCACCCGUUUCAGGGCCACUUGGUUCCCACCUCCACCUUCUUAGUCUGCCUGCCCUGCUUUCCAUCUUCUUGGAAUUCGCCUUGCUGCCGCCCCGCGCCCACCCCCGCGCCCACCCCUGCCCCUGCACCGUCCCAUGCCCUUAUGGAUUUAUUCUUUACACGUAAAUAUGUCUUUCCUCUUUUUGAAAGGAUUUGGAGUUGGAACAGAGAAAUUCACUAUGGAUGAUGCUAUAUCUUUAUAUGACCUUUGGAAUAUCUGUAAUCAUCCUGAGGGCAAUACUUAUGUAAUGAAGAUGGAAGAAGAGAGAAUAUGAAUACUCCGUGCACUUUGAUCUUAUCGUUUAGCUGCUGAUCAUACCAUCCCUGGAGUCCUACUUCUGACUCCAAGUUAUGAGAUGGAAUCUUGCUCUGUCAUCCAGGCUGGAGUGCAAUGGUGCGAUCUCAGCUCACUGCAACCUCCACCUCUUGAGUUCAAGCGAUUAUCCUGCCUCAGCCUCCUGAGUAGCUGGGAUUACAGGGGCAUGGAUAAAGCUGGAAGCCAUCAUUCUCAGCAAACUAACACGGGAACAGGACACCAAACACCACAUGUUCUCAUUCGUAAGUGGGAGUAGAACAAUAAGAACACAUGGACACAGAGAGGGGCACAACACACUCUGAAACCUGUCAGGUGGUGGGGGCAAGGGGAAGGAGAGCAUCAGGACAAAUAGCUAAAAACCUAGAUGACAGGUUGUUGGGUACAGCAAACCACCAUGGCACUCAUAUAUAUAUAUAUAUAUAUAUAUAUAUACCUGCACGUUCUGCUCAUGUAUCCCAAAACAUAAAGUAACAACAACAACAAUAACAAAAUGCUUUAUGUAGGGGAGAAGUGUGUACGCGUAUGUGUGUGUGUAGUGUCACUGUUCAAAUGAAAAUCAGAAACGAAAAUCCAUUGGUGGGAUUUUCUGAGCCAUUUUAAAAUAAAUUUACAUUUUUUUUAAAUUUUGUUUUUCUGUAAGUUAUUGGGGUACAGGUGGUUUUUGGUUACAUGAGUAAGUCAUUUAGUGGUGAUUUGUGAAAUCCUGGUGCACCCAUCACCCGAGCAGUAUAUACUGCACCAUAUAUGUUGUCUUUUCUCUCUUUUGCCCCUCUCCCAUGCUUCUCCACAAGUCCCCAAAGCCCACUGUAUCAUUCUUAUGCCUUUGUGUCCUCAUAGCUUAGCUCCCACAUAUCAGUGAGAACAUACAAUGUUUGGUUUUCCAUUCCUGAGUUAUUUCACUUAGAAUUAUAGUCUCCAAUCUCAUCCAGGUCAUUGCAAAUGCUAUUAAUCAUUCCUUUUUAUGGCUUAGUAGUAUUCUAUUAUAUAUAUACGUAUAUGUAUAUAUAUAUAUAUACGUAUAUGUAUAUAUAUAUAUAUACGUAUAUGUAUAUAUAUAUAUACGUAUAUGUAUAUAUAUGUAUAUGUAUAUAUAUGUAUAUAUAUACGUAUAUAUAUAUACGUAUAUAUAUAUACGUAUAUAUAUAUACCAAAGUUUAUCCAUUUGUUGAUUGAUGGGCAUUUGGGUUGGUUGCACGAUUUUGCAAUUGUUAAUUGUGCCGCUAUAAACAUGCGUGUGCAAGUAUCUUUUUCGAAUAAUAACUUCUUUUUUUCUGGGUAGAUACCCAGUUGUGGGAUUGCUGGAUCAAAUGGUAGUUCUACUUUUAGGUCUUUAAGGAAUCUCCACACUGUUUUCCAUAGCAGCUGCACUAGUUUACAUUUCCACUAGCAAUGUAGAAGAAGUGUUCCCUGAUCACCUCAUUUACACCAACAUCUACUGUUUUUUGAUUUUUUUAUUAUGGCCAUUCUUUCAGGAAUAAGGUGGUAUCGCAUUGUGGUUUUGAUUUGCAUUUCCCUGAUCAUUAGUGAUGUUGAACAUUUUUUCAUGUGUUUGUUGGCCAUUUGUAUAUCUUCUUUUAAGAAUUGUCUAUUCAUGUCCUUAGCCCACUUUUUGAUGGGAUUGAUUGUUUUUUUCCUUACUGAUUUGUUUGAGUUCGUUGUAGAGUCUGGAUAUUAGUCCUUUGUCAGAUGUAUAGAUUGUGAAGAUUUUCUCCCACUCUGUGUUGUCUGUUUACUUUGACGACUGUUUUUUUUUUUUUGUCAUUCAAAAGCUAUUUUGUUGAAUUAGGUCCCAGCUAUUUAUCUUUCUUUUUAUUGCAUUUGCUUUUGGGUUUUUGGUCAUAAAAUUAUUGCCUAAGCCAAUGUCUAGAAAGGUUUUUCCAGUGUUAUCUUCUAGAGUUUUUAUAGUUUUAGGUCUUAGGUUUAAGUCUUUAAUCCAUCCUGAGUUGAUUUUUGAAUAAGGUGAGAGAUGAGGAUCCAGUUUCAUUCUGCCACAUGUGGCUAGCCAAUUUUCCCAGAACUAUUUGUUGAAAAGGGUGUCUUUUCCCCACUUUAUGCUUUUAUUUGCUUUGUCGAACAUCAGUUGGCUGUAAGCAUUUUGGUUUAUUUCUGGGUUCUUAUUCUGUUCCAUUGGUCUAUGUGCCUAUUUUUAUACCAGUACCAUGCUGUUUUGGUGACUAUGGCCUUAUAGCAUAGUUUGAAAUCAGGUAGUGUGAUGCCUGCAGAUUUGUUCUUUUUGCUUAGUCUUGCUUUGUCUAUAUGGGCUCUUUUUUGUUUCCAUAUGAAUUUUAGAAUUGUUUUUUCUAAUGCUGUGAAGAAUGAUGGUGGUAUUUUGAUGGAGAUUGCAUUGAAUUUGUAGAUUGCUUUUGGCAGUAUGGUCAUUUUUACAAUAUUGAUUCUACCCAUUUAUGAGCAUGGCAUGUGUUUCCAUUUGUUUGUGUCAUCUAUGAUUUCUUUCAGCAGUGUUUUAUAGUUUUCCUUGAUUUGAUUCUCCACUUGGUCACUGUUGGUGUACAGAAAAGCUACUGAUUUGUGUACAUUAAUCUUGUAUCCAGAAACUUUGCUGAAUUAUUUUAUCAGUUCUAGGAGCUUUCUGGAGGAGUCCUUAGGAUUUUCAAGGUAAAUGAUUAUAUCAUUAGUAAACAGGGACAGUUUGAGUUCCUCUUUACUGAUUUGGAUGCCUUUUAUUUAUUUCUCUUGUCUGAUUGCUCUGGCUAGAUCUUCCAAUACUAUGAUGAAGAGGAGUGGUGAUAUAGUGACAGUCCUUGUCUUGUUUCCAUUCUCAGAGGGAAUGCUUUCAACUUUUCCCCAUUCAGUAUUUUGUUGACUCUGGGUUUGUCAUAGAUGUCUUUUACUACAUUAAGGUAUGUCCCUUGUAUGCCAAUUUUGCUGGGGGUUUUAAUCUAAAGCGAUGCUGGAUUUUGUCAAAUGCUUUUUCUGCAUCUAUUGAGAUGAUCAUGUGAUUUUUGUUUUAAAUUCUGUUUAUAUGGUGUAUCACAUUUAUUGAGUUGCAUAUCUUUAACCACCCCUGCAUCCCUGGUAUGAAACCCACUUGAUUGUGGUGGAUUACCUUUUAGAUAUGUUGUUGGAUUCAGUUAGCUAGUAUUCUGUUAAGGACUUUAGCAUCUAUGUUCAUCAAGGAUAGUGGUCUGUAGUUUUCCUUUUUGGUUAUGUUCUCUCCUGGUUUUGGUAUUAGGGUGAUGCUGGCUUCAGAGAAUGAAUUAGGGAGGGUUCCUUCUCUAUAUAUCUUGUGGAAUAAUGUCCACAGGAUUGGUACCAGUUCUUCCUUGAAUGUAUGGUAGAAUUCUGCUGUGAAUCUGUUUGGUCCUGGACUUUUUUUAUGUUGGUAAUUUUUAAAUUAUCAUUUAAAUCUCGCUGCUUGUUAUUGGUCUCUUCAGGGUAUCUACUUCUUGCUGAUUAAGCUAGGUGUAAGAUUGUCCCCAUGGCCUGAAAGCUUAAGGAGAUAUAUAACUCCUCGCUUCUCAGGCCCAGUCCCAAGGCGCAAGGCCACUUGCGUCAGCAGUGUGUGCGGCAGCAUGCACCAGCAAGAUAGCAGAGGCAGAAAAAUAGCCAGUCAGAAGACACCUACCCCUGAAGAUUGAGAAAGAGGCCAUAUGGGUAAAACAUAGCAGUUACGUCAGACUAGGACACUUCCUGUUUACAGGAGACUGUAAAACAUUUGUCCCAUCCUCACUUGGUGCUAACGCCAUUUUAAGCCUCAGCCCGCCUGCACCCAGGCACUCAUUAAGACAGCAUGUUGCUCCACACUGCCUCGUGUUGUCUGUUGGUGCACUCUCGGGGUUCAAACUGUUACAAGAACCUUAUAUUUUGGUGCUGAAAUCUGGGAGGGGCUCAGGUCUGCAUCCCCCAUGGACCUAGCCCUCCACCCCAAAGAGCAGGCCACAGCAGCUGGACAAAGGAAGGUCCUCAGCCUCCAGUCGCCUCUCUGUGCAUGCAGUCGGUCACUGAUCUCGCCUACUGGUAAGUUUCCCCAGAAGCCCAGUUAACAGAGAAAAAUCUGCACAGCCUCUCUUGGUUUCUCCAGUCCAAAGCCCCAACAUUGGUCCAAGAAGGCUCUGGCAUGUGCCAGGCACCCGAUAAUUAUCUAGUCUUAAGGGGACGCCUCUAAGCCAUUUAAUCCUGUUCCAGGAACAAAAAAGGCAGCAGUGAUGAUGGCUCCUUUUAUCUUCUCCCUCCGGCUGUCCAGGAUGGCCUCCUUUUCCCUGUUCUCCCAAGCCCACCCUCCCUUAUGGGAAACUCCCGGUCCUCUGUUCCAAAAAAAAAAACAGUCCUCUAGGCUGCCUCAUAAAAAAACCUGCAAACAUUAGGCCUCAAGCUAGAUAUGUGCCCUAAGCGCCUUGUCUUUUUUUUUUUUUUUUUUUUUUUUUGCAAUUCAGUCUGGCCACAAUAUGAAUUAAAUAAUGGGUCCAAAUGGCCCGCAAAUGGAACAUUCAACUUUGCAAUUCUAACUUAUUUAAGCAAUUAAUGCUGACGACUGGAGAAAUGGCAAGAAAUUCCUUACGUCCAGGCCUUUUUACACUCAGAUCACAACCUGUCCUCUGCAAUUCUUGCUUAUCUGUUCAAAUCCUUCCCCUCCAUUCUAGCCGCCCUAAUCACCUUUCUCCUCCCAACCGUACCUCUUUUUUUCUCAUUAAAUCCAGCAGACUGCUGUCCACCCCUCCCAGCCCCUACCUCUUCCUCUCAACCAUCUUCUUUAACCCCCCAAGCCUCCUCAUUGUCUUCUCAGCUGCCAUCUUCCCAGUCAGCUGUAUCCACUUAUUUUUCUACACCGUCCCCUCCUCAGAACAAUUCUAAUAUUACCUAUACCUAUUCUCCUCCCCAACGCCCUCUCCUGAGGCUUGUAAACCUAUCCUGCCACCUUACGCCUCUGUCUAUCCUCCACUGCCUAUUAACUCAACCGCGCUUUCCCCUUCAAACCCUCAGAAGGAAUCAGUAUUUUAAACCUUCAGUUCAUCUCCUAAUCCACCCCCAAUGUUUGGCUCAAGCUCCAGAAGCUUGACGACGGCCGUCAAACCCCACAACAAGUCCUUCUUAAUUUAGCCUUCAAAGUCUUCAACAAUUGUAAUGAGGAAAGUAAAAGGCAAAAACAGGCAGAGUUUCAAAUGCUUGCCUCCACCAUCAGGGGCCCUGCAGGCCCACGGGGCCGCAGCUCCACACAGAAGCCUCCUAAAAAUCCACCUCCACCUGGCGCCUAUUUCAAGUGUGGCAAUGAAGGCCACUGGUCCAGACAAUGCCCAAACCCAGGUAAAGCCAGCAGUCCAUGCCCCUCUCUGCGGAGAACCCCACUGGAAGUCGGACUGUAAGCAGCUCCCACAAGGACUGCCCCCAUCCCUUCCUGAGCUAGCCAAAACCUCCUACUUAUAUCUCAUCGGCCUUGCCACUGAAGAAUGAUGGUGCCCUGGAACAGACACCCUGGCAACUACCUUUGCCUCAUCCAAGCCAAGGGUAACCCUGAUGGUGGCAGGUAGGCCAGUAUAUUUUUAAAUUAAUACCAGGCAACCUACUCUGCUUUACCUAAUUUUUCAGGAACCACCCAGUCCUCCCAGGUGUCUGUUGUAGGAAUUAAUGGACAAGUCUCCAAACCUCGAGUCCCCCCUCCACUUUUCUGCUCCCUUCACACCUUUUCCUUCACUCACUCUUUCUUAGUCCUGCCCUCAUGCCCAACUACUCUCCUAGGCAGAAAUAUCUUUCCAAAACUCCACACUACUUUCCACUUCCACAUUCCCCAUAGUACCCAACACAUCAACCCAGACCCCUCUGGGGCUUCUAACUUUCUUCUACUCCUCCAACCACCCACCUUAAAACGUGCAACUUUUUCUUGUCCCCCAUCUGUAGUUAACCCCGCUGUUUAGGAUACUUCCACACCCUCAGUCGCAGGACACCACACCCCUGUCCACAAUACCCUUAAAUAGCCCACCCAGUUCCUAUCACAGAAGUAGUAUGCCAUCCCCCAAGUAGCUCUCAUAAGCCUAAAGCCUAUCAUUUCUCGUCUCCUCUCCAGUCACCUACUCUGCCCAACAAACUCCCCUUUUAACACACCAGUUCUACCUGUGAAAAAGCUAGAUGGAGCUUAUCACUUAGUCUAGGACCUCAGGCUCAUUAACCAAGCUGUACUCCCAGUAUGUCCAGUAGUUCCUUACCCAUAUACUUUACUUUCCACAAUUCCCUCCGAUACCACUCAUUUUUCUGUUCUAAACCUAAAGGAUGCUUUUUUUUCAUAAUUCCUUUACACUCUGAUUCCCAAAACCUCUUUUCCUUUAUGUGGAAUACCCCCGACACCCACCUUUCAUAGACAGCCCCCACUUUUCUGUGUCCAAAAGGCCCUUGCUCAUGACCUCUGUAGCUUAUCCCUAAAGCUGUCCACUCUCUUUCAAUGUAUUAAUGAUCUGCUCCUGUGUAGCCCCUCUCAAAAAAACUGCAACUACCAUACUAUCUCUCUUUUAAACUUCUUCCCAAAAUGCGAGUAUUAGGUCUCCCCUAAAGAAACAAAAAUAUGCACCCCCCUCAGUCACCUAUCUAUGCCUAACUCUUACCCCAUGAACCUGAGAGCUCACAACCGACCACAUAUCCCUCCUCCAGUCCCUCCUGCCUCCGCAAACUAAGCAAAAAAAUCUCUCUUUUCUAGGACUAGUGGGAUAUUGUAGGCUCUGGGUUCCCUCCUUCGCUCUAUCUGCCAAACCAUUAUACCAGGCUGCUAAAGGCCCUCUCUAUGUGCCAUUAAACUCUGCACAGCCUAUUACCCAACCUUUCCAUCUACUCCAGAAGGCUCUCACCUCAGCCUCAUCCUCACUCUCCCAGACCUCACCAAACCUUUCUCCCUCUAUAUCGACAGAUGAUGUAAAGUUGCAUUAUGUAUUCUAACCCAGUCUAAGGGACCUACCGCCCAGGUUGUUGCCUACCUCUCUAAACAGCUUAAAGCCACCAUUCUCCGAUGGCCUGCCUGCCUUCAAGCAUUGGUGGCAGCUGCUGUCCUCACCCUUGAAAGCCUAAAACUAUCUCUCCAUGCCAACCUAACAGUUUAUUCAACCCAUAACAUCAAAAACAUGUUAGCUCACUGCAGUGUACUAAGUCUCAUCUCUGCCCCAUGGCUCCUCCAACUGUAUGCUCUAUUCAUAGAAAACCCCCUCCUACCAAUCACCAUACUAACCAGCUCCCGUCUAAACACAGCCAUGCUCUUACCUGAAGUUACAACCGCCCAAGACCCUACACACUUCUGUGUAAACACUGUUCAAACCUUCCUUAUACCUUUUCCAAACCUAACAGAACAACCCUUUCCAGAUGCCCCCUUUACUUAGUUUGUAGAUGGCAGCUCCUUCCUACAUCAAGGACGCUGGCAUGCUGGCUAUGCUAUAGUGUCACCCCACACACACACACUAUUGAAGCCAAUCUGCUCUUGCUAAGCACCACCUCUAAAAAAGCUGAACUCGUCGCUCUUCCUCAAGCUCUCACUCUAGCAGCCAGACAACAAAUCAACAUAUAUUCAAAUUCUCGUUAUACAUUCUACAUAGUGUACUCACACUCGUCCAUCUGGAAAAAACGAGGCUUCCUAAUUGCAAAAAACACUCCUGCCAUAAAUGGCUCUCUCAUCAGCAAACUCCUUCAAGCUGCCAGGCUUCUACAGAAAGUUGCCAUCAUUUAUUGCAGGGGCCACCAAACCCCGGAUGAUCCUAUAUCAGCUGGAAAUAGGCUAGCAGAUCAGAUAACCAAACAAGUAGCCCUCCAACCCAUGCAAGGCCAGUUUCUGUCCCUGUCCUUUUUCUCUCCUCUUUACUCCUCAGAAGAAAAGGAGGACUUCCAAGCCCAAAACCUUCAAAAGCAAGGACCAUGGUAUGUCAAGGAAAGGUGCUUUAUUCUUCCUCACUCUCAAAGCCUUCCUCACCUCCAAAGCCUCCACAACCCUUUCCAUAUCAGUUACAACCUCUCUUGCAACUUCUCUGCCCUAUUCUCACUUGCCCUCACCUUUCCAGCCAUGUUUGAGAAAUUACCUAGUCCUGCUCUGUCUGCCACUCAGUGUCACCCCAAGGCUCCUUCCAGCCACCUUUUCCUACCCACCAAGCCCAGGGCCAGGUACCCAGGCAAAAUUAACAAAUGGACUUCACUCACAUGCUGGCCAAUAAACGGCUCCACUAUCUUCUAGUCUUUAUCUGUACUUUCUCCAGGUAGAUAAAAGCAUUCCCAACAACUUCAGAAGGUAUAAAUGUCAUCACACAAACUCUCUUCAUGCAUAUAAUUCUCCGUUUUGGACUUCCAACAUUCAUCCAGUCCAACAACGGACCCUCCUUCAUCAGCCAAAUUAUCCAAGGCAUCUCUACAUCCUUAGGUAUAAAAUGGGUUCUCCACACACCCUAUAGGCCUCAAUUCUCAGGCAAAGUUGAAAAAAUUACGUCUGUCCUUAAAGCCCAACUCACCAAGCUGGCUCUAAAAACUCACCAGUCGUAAACAAAAAAUCUCCCUUUCACCCUUAUAAGACUCCACACAACACCAAAAGCACCCUCUUUUUAUAGUCCCUUUGAAAUCAUAUAUGGCCAAACUUUUGUCUUGGGGUCUCCACCCUUACCAGACUCUGAGCCACUCAGAUAUUACCUCUCCUCCUUAAUCCAGACAUGGUCUUUCAUUCGUGAAGCAGCAAAUAAGGCCAUGCCUCUCCCUGUUAACACCUUUUUGUCCUCUGAACGUAACUGUCUUACAGGCACAGACGUGUUUCCAGACAAUCCAGAUGAUGCUUCUGCUACAGCGACAUGGCCCAGUCCCAAGGCGCAAGGGCCACUUGUGUCAGCAGUGUGCACCAGCAGCGUGCGCCGGCAAGAUAGCAGAAGCAUGAAAAGGGCCGGCCAGAAGACACCUACUCUGGCUGGAAGACACGUACCCCUGAAGAUCAAGAAAGAAGCUAUCUGGGAACAAUGUAGCAGUUACGUCAGACCAGGACACUUCCUGUUUACAGGAGACUAUAAAACCUUUGUCCUAUCAUCACUUGAUGUGGACGCCAUUUUAGGCCUCAGCCCGCCUGCACCCAGGCACUGAUUAAAACAGCAUGUUGCUCCACACUGCCUCGUGUUGUCUGUUGGCAUGCUCUUGGGGUUCAAACUGAUACAAGAACCUUACACUAGGAGGGUUGUGUUUUUCCAGGAAUUUAUUAAUCUCUUCCAGAUUUUCUAGUUUAUGUGUGUAAAGGUGUUCAUAUUAGCCCUGAAUGAUCUUUUGUAUUUCAGUGGUGUUAGUUGAAAUAUCUCCUGUUUCAUUUCUCUGUGAGGUUAUUUGGAUAGUCUCUCUUAUUUUCUUGGUUAAUCUUGCUAAUGGUCUCUCAAUUUUAUUUAUCUUUUCAAUGAAUCAACUUUUUGUUUCAUUUAUCUUUCGUAAAAUUUUUUUUUUCAAUUUCAUGCAGUUCUUCUCUGAUCUUGGUUAUGUUCUUUGUCUGCUGGGUUUGGGUUUGGUUUGUUCUUGUUUCUCUAGUUGCUUGAGGUGUAACCUUAUAUUGUCUGUAUGCACUUUUUCAGACUUUUUGUUGUAGGUGUUUAGGGCUAUGAACUUUCCUCUUAGCGCCUCCUUAGCUGUAUCCGAAAGUUUUUGAUAGGUUGUGUCAUUAUUGUCAUUCAUUUUGAAGAAUUUUAAAAUUUUCAUCUUGAUUUUGUUUUUGGCCCAAUGCUCAUUCAGGAGCAGGUUAUUUAAUUUCCAUGUAUUUGCAUGGUUUUGAAAGUCCUUUUGGAGUUCAUUUCCAGUUUUAUUCCACUUUGGUCUGAGAGAGUAUUUGAUAUAAUUUCAAUUUUCUUAAAUUUGUUGAGGUUCAUUUUAUGGCCUAUCAUAUGGUCUAUCUUGGAGAAGUUCCAUGCACUGUUGAAUAGAAUGUGUAUUCUGCAGUUGUUGGAUGAAAUGCUCUGUAGAUAUCUGUUAAGUCCAUUUGUUCCAAGGUAUAGUUUAAAUCCAUUGUUUCUUUGUUGACUUUCUGUCUUGAUGACCUGUCUAUUGCUGUCAGUGGAGUAUUGAAGUCCCCCACUAUUAUGAUUCUAUCUAUCUCAUUUCUUCAUUCUAUUAGUAAUUGUUUUAUAAAUUUGGGAUCUCUAGUCUUAGGUGAAUAUUUGUUUAAGAUUAUGCGGUUUUCCUGUUGUAUCAGGCCUUUUUACCAUUAUAUAAUGUCCCUCUUUGUGUCUUUUAACCACUGUUGCUUUAAAGUUCAUUUUGUCUGAUAUAAGAAUAUCUACUCCUGCUCAGUUUUGGUGUCCAUUUGCAUGAAAUGCCUUUUUGUACGCCUUUACUUUAAGUUUAUGUGAGUCUUUUUGUGUUAGGUGAGUCUCCUGAAGACAGUAGACGGUUGGUUAAUUCUUAUCCAUUAUGUGGUUCUGCAUCUUUUAAGUGGAGCAUGUAGGGUAUUUACAUUCAAUGUUAGUAUUGAAAUGUGAGGUACUCUUGCAUUCAUCAUGCUCUUUGUUGCCUGUGUACUUUGUUUUUGUUGUUGUUGUUUUAACUCGUGUUUUUGUUUUAUAGGCCCUUUGUAAUUUAUGCUUUAAAGAGAUUCUGUUUUGAUGUGUUUCCAGGAUGUGUUUCAUGAUUUAGAGCUUCUUUUAGAAGUUCUUGUAAUGGUGGCUUUGUAAUGGUGAAUUCUCUCAAUAUUUGUUUGUCUGAAAAUCACAGUAUCUUUCCUUCAUAUAUGAUGCUUCAUUUGGCUGGAUAAAAAAUUCUUGGCUGAUAAUUGUUUUGUUUGAGAAGGCUGAAGAUAGGACCCCAAUCCCUUCUAGGUUGUAGGGUUUCUGCUGAGAAAUCUGCUGUUAAUCUGUUAGGUUUUCCUUUAUAGGUUUCCUGGUGCUUCUGUCUCAAAACUCUUAAGAUUCUUUCCUUCAUCUUAACUUUCGAUAACCUGAUGACAAUGUGCCUAGGUGAAGAUCUUUUUGCAAUAGAUUUCCCAGGUGUUCUUUGUGCUUCUUGUAUUUGCAUGUCUAGGUCUCUAGCAAGGCUGGGAAAGUUUUCCUUGAUUAUUCCCCUAAAUAUGUUUUCCAAGCUUUCAGAGUUGUUUUCUUCCUCAGGAAUACCGAUUAUUCUUAGGUUUGGUUGUUUAACAUAAUCCAAAACUUCUUGGAGGCUUUGUUUAUAUUUUCUUAUUCUUUUUUCUUUGUCUUUGUUGGAUUGGGUUAAUUCAAAGACUUUGUCUUCAAGCUCUGAAUUUCUUUCUUCUACUUGUUCAAUUCUAUUGCUGAGACUUUCCAGAGCAUCACACAUUUCUAAAAGUGUGUCCAAUGUUUCCUGAAUUUUUAAUUUUUUUUUUCUUUAAGCUAUCUAUUUCAUUGGAUAUUUCUCCCUUCACUUUUUGUAUUAUUUUUUGGACUUACUUGCAUUGGGCUUUGCCUUACUUUGAUCUCUCCCUGAUUAGCUUAAUAACUGACCUCCUGCUUUCUUUUUCAGGUAAAUCAGAGAUUUCUUCUUGGUUUGGAUCCAUUGCUGGUGAACUCGGGUCGGGGGGUGUUGAGGAGCCUUGUUUUGUCAUAUUACCAGGGUUGGUUUUCUGCUUCCUUCUCAUUUGGGUAGACUCUGUCAGAGGGAAGGUCUAGGGCUGAAGGCUGUUGUUCAUAUUAUAUUUUCCCACAGGCUGUUCCCUUUAUGUAGUACUCUCCCCCUUUUCGUGUGGAUGUGGCUUCCUGUGAACUGAACUGCAGUGAUUGUUGUCUCUCUUCUGGGUCUAGCCACCCAGUGAGUCUACCUGGCUCUGGGCUGGUACUGGGGGUUAUCUGCACAGAGUCCUGUGAUAUUAACUGUCUAUGGGUCUCUCAGUCAUGGAUACCAGUGCCUGUUCCAGUGGAGGUGACACAAGGGGCAAUGGACUCCAUGGGGGUCCUCAGUUUUGGUGGUAUAAUGGCCUAUUUUUGUGCUGGUUGGCCUCCUACCAGGAGGUGGCACUUUCCAGAAAACAUCAGCUGUAGUAGUGUGGAGAGGGACUGGUGGUGGAUAGGGCCCUACAACUCCCAAGGUUAUAUGUCCUUUGUCUCCUGCCACCAGGGUGGGUAGGGAAGGACCAUUGGGUGGGGGCAGGGCCGUGUCUGAGCUCAGACUUUCCUUAGUUGAGUCUUGCUGUGGCUGCAGUGGUGGAUGGGGGUGAGACUCCCAGGUCACUGGAGUUGUUUACCAAGGCAGAUUAUGGCUGCCUCUGCUGAGUCAUACAGGUUGUCAGGGAAGUGGGGUAAAGCUGGUAGCCACAGACCUUACUCAGCUCUCACUCAAACCGAAGGGCUGGUCUCACUCCCACCAUGCCCUCAGCAACAGCCCUGAACCUGUUUCCAGGUGAAGGGCCAGUCAGGCUUGAAAAUUUUCCCAAGGUUUUCUUCACAUUUGCAAAUGAAAAGGGCUUUAGUUCUUUCCCCACCUGUGAAGUCUGCAAACUGGAUUCGCGCCCUCCCCUGAGUUCUGGCCUUGAGACUUCUCGCCCUGUUCAAAUUGUUAGAAAUUUCAGCUAGAGAAGUUCUUCUCAUUGUGGAGUUUUACCCCCUGCUCCUCUGGCCACCCUCCUGAUGGAUCCCUGUGGUGCCAGGCAGGAAUUGUCUGCUUGGGGAUCCAGCGAGCUCCCAGUGCCUUUCUGCUACUUCCUCUAUCCCUGUGUUUCGCUGGGUUUGGCUCUCUAACUUGACUCGGCUCCAGGUAAAGUUGGGAACUUCUCCCACAAACAGACCUUCAGCUUCUCCAUUGGGGAUGUCUGUUUGGGAGAGGAGGGUCUCCCUUUUCCACUUCCAUGGUUGGGGCACUCACAGUAUUUAGGUUGUCUCCCGUGUCCUGCAGGAGCAGUCUGCUUCCUUUAGAGGGUCUGUGGGUCCUCUCAGGAUUGCUGGUCUGUUAUUGCAGUCGAUCUGGAGCUAAAAUUCACAAUGCAAGCCUCCGUAUGCUGCUCUGUCCGGAGCUGCAAUCUAGUCCUACCUCCCAUCAAAUUUACACAUUUUAAAAUACCAUUUACUUCCUAAUCUGACAGGAUAUCAAACCAGGUUCGUCCAGCUUUCCUGUCUGACACCUCUUUAGUUUCCUUGGUAACAAAACUUUGCUCCAUGAUUCCGGUAACAAAACUCUUUAGUUUCCUUGGUAUCAAAACUCUGCUCCAUGAUUCUGGGGUCUGAUUUUGAAUAAAUGCAACGUCAGAAGCAAGAGUGAGCUGAGUACUUUACAGCUGUGGAACCUAAAGCAAAAAAAACAGACACAGCAUCCCAAUUCUAAUUCUGACUCUGAUUUGGAUUCAGAUCCAUAUUUCCCCCAGACUCUACAGACACAUCACUUCUCCUCCUUUGUUCCCCUUCCAGUUCUGCUAUGGAAGAAGCAACAUCUAAGAUGACGGAAAUUAUUUCAGAGCCCACAGUUACACUGGAAAAUGAGGUAAAAAAAAAAUAGAAUUCUGCUCACUACCUUACAGAAAAACAAGCCAGACAAAAGGGUGGAAUGGUUAAGAGACAGUGUUGACAAUGAGCACUUGGACUAUCGCUCAUCUAAAUGCUGCUGCAUUUAUCAAAAGCCUCAUGCCUUUGGUGAAAGCUCCUCAGAGAGUGAAAAAGAGGAUGAAGAAAAUUGUAAUUUCAUGCUAUAUUUCUGGGGUCAUCACAAUGGACGGCAUCAUUCCCUUCCCAAUAGGGCUUCUAGUACUUUAUCUAAAAAACCUUGAGACACAUCUCAUCCUCUUCCUUCACCCAUGAAGGGCUAAGCUUACUUUGCUUCCCCCAUCCCUGAAUGAGACUGGACUAAAAUAUAUCCACGUUGCUAUUCAGGGAUUAAACAUAUUUUGAAUCUUUUUUGAUGUGUGUUCUAUCUCUCUUCUGUCUGAUGGAAAGGGUAGCAAUGAAGGAAGACAAGGGGAGAGAAACAAAGGGAUCAAUAGAAUACCUGGAAGCCCUGGUACUGCAUGACUACUAUUCUACAAUACACAUGUCACAUGUAUAUUCUUGUCUUUUUUAGAGAUCUGGAAUAACUUCUCCUAUAUUUUCUUGGCUAGUCUAUUAUCAUGACACCAAACCCCCACUUUCCACAGAGCUACCAUUUUCUCUAUACUUGUUACCCAUAAUAGUUUCUAUCAUCUAAUGAGUACCAGAUUAUUCUUUACCAUUAAUUGGAAGCUUUGUAAUCUUGUCACCUGAUAUUUACCCAUUACACUUUAUUCUUGCUUUUAUCCUGGGUGAUUUCAAUAUCCCUGUAGAUAAGAUUUCAUAUAAACUAGGUAUUUCUCCUCUACUUUUAUUUAGGAACCCCACAGCCAUAGUCAUACCAUGAAGCUAAUGAGCACUAGUACUAUUCCACAUCUAAGUUUUAUAAUUAGGGAUCUUAUUUUCUCAUCCCAAACUCCUAUCUUUUGACUUCUGUCUCAUACUCGCUUACAACACUAUUUUGUGAAUUCAUGGAGACUCCUAGUCACCCAAAUUUGUGCUGACCUCUCAAUCAGUCAACCUUCUGGGUAUAACUUCUUUUCCACCCAAACUUCUGACCCAUCAACAGCAUUCUUUCCCGUGUUCUUACUUCUUCACUCUUUUGUGAAACCUCUCUUGCCAAUUCCAAAUUAUGACAUGUGACUCAGGAAAACUAAAAUGAAGUGUUUGUGGACUUGGGGAAAGGUGGUAUCAAAGAAACAUCAGGAAACUAUCAAGAGGUAGAAUAGUAGUUUAAAUUUAUUACAUGUUUUGUGUGUGCCUAGCAUUUUCUUCAAGGCUUUAUGUAUAAUAACCCAGGAAUUCUGGGAAAGUCUCAGUCUUUAUCUCUUCAAAUAUAUUCUGCUUCAUUCUCUUUUUCCUAUUUCUUUGAGACUCCAAUUUAAACCUAUGUUACACUUCCUUCUAUAUUUGUUAAUAUUAUCUUUAUUUUUCUGUCUCUUUUAAACAUCAUUUGGAUCAUUUCUUCUUAUCAGCAUUUAGUUCACCAAUAUAGCUUGAUUUAUAUCUAAAAAGCUAUUAAACCCAUCCACUUAAUUUUGUUUCCUUAUACUCUUCAGUCCUAGAAUUUCAACUUAGUACUUUUUCCCAAUUGUUAGAUCCCUUAUUAUGAGGACCUGAAUAAUUCAAAUUCUCUGUAAGAAACUUUUGGCUUGACUUUGAUUUCCUUGCACAUACUAAGCAUAAUUAUUUUAUAACUUGUGUCUGAUAAUUGUAGUAUUUACAAUCCUGGUGAAUUUGUUUCCAUUGUCUGAUUUUCUCUCCUAGUUCUUGCUCAUAGUUUCUUGUUUUCUUGCUUUUGUGCUUUUUUUAUUCCUUGAUUAUAUGCUAUACUCUAUUUUAAAUAUUAUUUGUAGAAAUUUGAGGUCGAGGAUAAUGAUAUCUUCCUCCAAAGGAAGUGUGUGUGUGUGUGUGUGUGUGUGUGUGUGUGAGUGUGUGUGUGUUUCUAUGGGUUUCUGAGGUCAGUAGAAAUCCGGGAUUAUCUUAAUCCAAAUUUAGAGUUUAGUAUUUUUGAGGAUUCCAAAAUUAACUAAAGUUGGGUUGUAGCUCAUUACAGCUUCCGUUUGGUUCAAUUCACUUUUAUUCAUGAUUUUCUGGCCAUUAUAGGUCAAGAUCAAAACUACCCACUCUUGGUAGACUGAGGACUAUGAAUUUUAUCUUCCUAGCACAAUGAAGUCACCAAAAGUACAGAUCUUCCUCUCACGCAUUACUUUAGACUCAGCAAAUAUUCCUUUCCCCCAGAGAAAAAUAGGUUCCAUGUUCUGGACUCAACACUAGAUUCCUUUUCUGUUAUAGACCUCUGUCUAAUAGUUCCUCACUAUUUUGCCUAUUUUUUAGCUUUUUUUGUAAUUGCAAGAAUAUUUUGAAUUUUUUUGUAGCCUUUUGAUUUGUUUUCCAGUUCCAACCCAGGGAAUGUUGAUCUAAGUUAUCUUUUUAUACCUUUAUAUUCACUAUUUUAUCAUUACAAUAAUGCCAUGAGGUAGAUAAUAUUGUUAUCCUCACAGUACAUCUUAGAAACUGAGAUAUAGAGUUAAUAAUUUGCCUUAGAUAACACAGCUAAUAAGAAUUAGAAAUGAAAUUUGAACCCAAGCAUUCUGGCUCAACAGUCUGAAUUCCUCAACAUUUGCUUUUUCUGAAUUAUUAGGCAAUUAAUCCCUCUGGCAAAACAGAAAUUGUUCUAUGUCUACUUGGGUUAGAGUUCUGGCAGAACAUAAACAUUAGAGGUUGUAGGUUAAAACAAAACAAGCCCCUGGGAUCCCACCAAGCAUGCUUUUGGUGGGCUAGGAAGAUAAAUUUUGUGACCAGGAUCUACUUUUCUAACAAAGGAGACUUUCAUUCUAUCAAUAAAUUUCCAUAUGCAUGAUAUGCUUGGAAGAUUCAAGCCAGCCUAGGGGCCCUCUUGGAAUAUAAAGAUACUAAUAGUAUGUCUUUUGACUGAAAGGCCCCAGUUUGGAUUGAACUGAUAUCUGUAUAGAUGGAGGGAUGAAGGAUACUAAUUGGGGAAGAAAGUGCUAGCCCCCUCAAGGAAAGACUGACAGUCUGAAUCACAGAAUUGAAAGGGCAUGACAAUUCCAUUUGGAUUUGACAUAAGUUCACAAAGGAAAUAGUUGUGUAGAUCAUGAAGAUUCCUGCAAGGUGAAGUAAGGUUUAUGGGAAGCAAGGACAAAAUUCAGAAAAUGGUGUUAAGAAAAUGGUGAGGGAGAGGGCUGAGGCCCAGCCAAGUUCUCUAAGAUUGUUCUCAAUGGGGAACUAAAGUGGAUAAAUGGAAAGUAGUGACCUACACAAAGUGCCAGUCAGCCAAACAAAACAUGCCAAAUGUCAAGUGAGUAGGAAAAUUUCAGCUCUUAAAAUUACGUAGGCUUUAAUAAUUCCAAAUUUAAUUUGAUUCUCAGAAUAUGGGAGGAGACUACAUGCACAGUUCUAAAGCCAUCACUGUUUUUGUUUUUAUGAUGUUUCCAGUUAUUUCUAGGCUCUCUAGUCUCUCUCGUAACUAAGAUAGACAUAUUCAAUUCUGUAUUUAUAUUCCUUUGCCAGUUUAUACUUCAUAGGUACAAUCCAUUACUGUUAUAACUGGUCUAUAAAUGUCUUGUUUUCUUCUAACUCUUAGAACAGUGAUAAAAAUUCAUUGGCAUGCAUGUAGUCCGUGUUACAGCCUAGAUGGAACAAGCACAUAUGCUCAUGUGUCAUUUCUGACUCAGUGGUAUCUCUACAAACUCUCAAACUUCUUGUAGAAAUUUUUUAUGUUGGCCUACCAGGGAGAUCUGUUACAGUAAUGAAGGAACUACUUAACUGCUCCCCUUGAGCCCUGAAGAAGUUAAUAAACAAAAACAUCACUGAAGUCUUAGUAAUUUUGUGUGUUAUACUCCCUGAUGCAUUUAUAACUGACCAGAAAAGCUGGCAGAUUUGUAAAGAGAUUCCUCCUCUGCUCAUGAGAUAUAGGAAUGCCUACAACCAGGUCUAUGGUAUUAUGUAGAUCAAUAACUGUCUUAUGAGGAGUAGCUAGCCAGGGGCUUUUUCUUCUACUUCUGUUAUGACUAGUAGAGAUAUGUCAUUUUGUGUCAUUGUUCCCUGGUGGUCACGUGAUAGAUAGUGUGGGAGAGUUGGCAUUUUAGUCAAAUAUCUGACCUCCCCUCUUUCUAUUGUAAACACUUUGGUUUUAGCUGGGCAAAAUACCCGCCAUGAGCUGCUUAAGUCAGGGAUUUAAUGUAAGAUAAUUCAACUUCUACCUUAUUUAAAAAACUGUCAUUGUGGUUUCUGAAAAACUGAAUUUAUAGCUUUACUAAUACAGAAUCAAACUAUUUUUUAACAGGGUGACAAAUUGCAACAUUGUAAAGGAAGGCUUAAUAGAAAAAAAAAAUAGUACAUAGUAAUAGAACUGCUUGCUGAGUUCCAAGACUUUUAGAACAAGGUGAGGGGGGAGGACUUUUCCUUCCAAUUCCUUCUUCAUAACAUUGGAUGGAGUCCUUUUGGUGGGUAUUUUGACAGCUUCCUUUUUGUUUUGUUUUCUUUUGUUUUGUUUUUGGAGACAGUCUCCCUCUAUUGCCCAGGCUGGAGUGCAGUGGCACAAUCUGGGCUCACUGCAACCUCCGACUCCUGGACUCAAGUGAUUCUCAUGCCCCAACCUCCCAAGUAGCUGAGAUUACAGGCGUGCGCCACCACGCUGGCUAAUUUUUAUUUCAUGAUAUUUUGUGGAGAUAGGGUUUUGCCAUGUUGGCCAGGCUGGUCUCUGAAUUUCUGGCCUUAAGUGAUCCGCCCGCCUCUGCCUCCUAAAGUGAGGGGAUUACAGGCAUGAGCCAUUGUGCCCAGUGGACAGCAUCUUUUGUUACUGCUCUUUUCCUAGAAAAUCUCCAGUGUGGGGUUGCUAGGUAAAUACAAAACAUGCAUUUAAAUUUGAACUUUGGAUAAUGAAUAAUGUUUACUUCAUGCAUAUUUAAAAGAUAUUUGUGAAAAAAUUUAUUGUUCAUCUGAAGUUCAAAUUCAACUGGGCAUCUUUUUUAAGUUUUUGUAUUAUUUAUUUAUUUUUUUAAAUGAUGUGCUAAGUUUGGCAACACACCUCCAGAGUUUUCUGUUUUUCUGACUACUUUCUUCAAACUUCACUUUAUAAAAUGUCAAAAAGCAGCACACCACAGGUCUUAAUUGAUCUCUCCAUUGCUGUUCCUACUUUAACAUCAUUCCAUUCACCUCACACACCAAUUUUAUCUCACUCAAUGAGAAAUCAACCCACUUUUAAACUAUUUAUUAUAUUUUCAGGAGUGUGUGUAAGGUUAACUUUAAAUGUAAAUAAGUUAGGGGCCUUUCACUAUAUUUUUACAUUUGUUGCGCACUUUAGUUCUAUUAUUAUUAUAUUGUAAUAUAUAAUGAAAUAAUUAUACAAUUCACCAUAAUUUAGAAUCAGUGGGAUGCCUGAGCUUCUUUUCCUGCAACUGGACAGUCCCAUCUUGGGGUAAUGGGAGACAGUGACAGAUCAUCAGGCAUCCAAUUCUCAUAAGCAGCAUGAAACCUUGCAUACACAGUUCACAAUAGGGUUCAAUCUCCUGUAAGAAUCUAAUGCAGCCAGUGAUCUGACAGGAGGCGGAACUCAGGAGGUAGUGUGAAGGAUGGGGAGCAGCUGUAAAUACAGAUGAAGCAGGCUGGUCCCCAUGGUUCACACCUGUAAUCCCAGCAUUUGGGAGGCUGAGGUGAGCAGAUCACUUGAGGUCUGGAGUUUGAGACCAACAUGGCAAAACUCUGUCUCUACUCAAAAUACAAAAAUUAACCGAGCAUGGUGGUGCACCCUAGUAAUCCUAGCUACUAGGGAGGCUGAGACAGGAAAAUUGCUUGAACUUUAAAGGCGGAGGUUGCAGUGAGCCCAGAUCGUGACACUGCACUCCAGCCUGGGUGACAGAGCAAGACUCUGUCUCCAUGGCCCAGGGACUGGGGGCCCUUGCUGUAUAGGAUGUGUGAAAACUCUGUGCACACAAUCCAGGUGUGUAGCAGUGGUGUAUGAUCAGGAACAAGGUACUGAAAUUAGUCCCUUGUCUAAUCCAAGCUGUAGCUAUGGCUUAAGGAAGUGUGAGGGUAAGUUAGCAUCUGGUGGUCAGUGAGCUGCAAUUGUCUCGAUUUUGCUUAUUUUGGGGCCAGUGUUUGUUCAGUUGCUAGAGAAAAAGAAAGAAAAAAAAACCUUGUUGCAGUUAGAAUAUAGUCUAACCUUUAGGUGUUGGGGAUGGUACAUGACUUAUCCCUUUCCUGGCAUGCCUUUAGGUCUUGUUUAUAAUUUGGUAUCUUGUUGCUACAAAAAGUCCUUUUCCAUCACUCUUAUGAUCUCUACUUUAAUACUAUCAUCAAAACUGAUUACACAAGUUCAUCUGUUAAUGUUCAUUUUUAUUGAGAUUUUAUAUAUUUACACUUCAAAAAUUUCUUUUCACACAUAUGGAAACAUAUAUGAAUUUUAAAAUAUGCAUCUUCAUGAAAGUCCAAAUAACACUAUUUGGACUAUAGUUUGAGUUCAGAAAUUAUAUCUGCUGAAAAUUUGGGUGGGAGUAAAUAUCUUCCUUCUUAGUUUAACUUUAUUUUCAAGUGUUUGUCUUUAUUUUGUUUAUAAUUGGCAUGUAAUCGUUGUCUAUGCUUAUGCAAUACAGUGUGAUGUUUCAACAUGUGUGCAUUGUAUAAUGAUAAACUCAGUGUUGUUAGCAUGCCCAUCCCACCAAACCUUUGUCAUUUUUUGUGAAGAUAACUUUCAAGAUUGUUAUUUACAGCUGCCUGAAAAUAUACAAACAUAUUUAUUAGUUAUUGCCAUCCCACUAUGUAAGAGAGCACCAAAACUUAUUCUUUCUUUCUGACUGGAACUUUGUACCAAUUGAGCAAAUGUUUCCAUCUUCCAUUCUCCACUCCCAUCCCCAGCCUCUGGUAAACAGUAUGCUACUCUUUACUUCUGUGAGAUCAACUUUUCUAAAUUACACCUAUAAGUGAAAUCACUGUAGUUUUCUUUCUGUGCCUCGCUUAUUUUCCUUAAUAUUGUGUCCUUUAGGUUGAUCCCUUCUGCCAUUAAUGACAGGAUUUUUCCAUUUUUAUAGCAGAAUAGCAUACCACUGUGUAUGUAUACCACAUUUUCUUUGUUAAUUCAUCUGCUAAAGGACACUUAGGUUGAUUCCUUUUAUUGGCAAUUGUGAAUGAUGCUUUAUAAACACAGGAGUGCAGAUAUGUUUUCAACAUACUGAUUUAAAUAUCUUUCCAUAUAAACCCAGUGGUGAAAUUACUAGGUUAUGUGGUGGUUUAAUUUAAUAUUUUGAGGAAUCUCCGCAGUGUUUUCCAUAAUGGCCAGGCUAGUCUACAAUCCUAGCAGUAGUGUACAAUAGUUUCCUUUCUUCGUGUCCUUGACAGCAUUUGAUAUUUUACUUUCUUCUUGAUAGUAGCCAUUCUAACAAAAGUGAGGAGAUAUCUCAUUGUGGUUUUGAUUUGCAUUUCCCCAGUGAUUAGUGAUAUUGUGAAUUUGUGAAUUUCUUAUAUGCCUGCUGGCCCUUUGUAUGUCUUCUUUUAAGAUAUGUCUUUUCAGACCUUUUGUCCAUUUAUUAAUCAGAUUAUUUGGGGGGGGUGUUUUUCUAUUGCAUGAUUUGAGUUCGUUAUAUAUCAUGAAUAUUAGCCUAUUAUCAGAUGGAUGGUUUGCAAAUAUUUUCUUCCAUUCUGUAAGUUGCCUCUUUGCUCUGUUCAUUGUAUCUUUUCUUGUACAGAAGCUUUUUAGUUCAGUGUAAUCCCAUCUGUCUAUUUUUGUUUUAUUGACUGUGCUUUUCAUGUACCACCAAAAAAAAUUAUUGAUCAGACUAAUGUUAUGAACUGUUUUCCUUGUGGUUUUUUCUGAUAGUUUUAUAGUUUUGAGUAUUAUACUUAAGUCUAUAAUCUAUUUUGAAAUGAUGUUUGUAUGCAGUUAAAGAUAAGGGUCUAGUUUCAUUCUUCUUCAUAUGGAUAUCCAGUUUUUCCAGCACCAUAUAUUGAAGAGACUAUCUUUUCUUCCAUGUGUGUUUUUGGCAGCUUUGUCAAAAAAUAUGUGACCAUAAGUGUGUAGAAUUAAUUUUGGGUUCUCAAUUUUGUCGCAUUGAUCUUUGUUUUUAUUUUUAUACAAGUACCAUGCCGUUUUGGUUAUUAUUGCUUUAUACAGUAUUUGGAAGUCAGGUAAGGUGAUGCCUCCAGCUUUGCUCCUUUUUUAUUUGUUUUAUUUUUUAUUCUGAUAUGUAUUUAAAUACAAGGUAAAAUAUUACAAUCAUACUAACAGAAAUAUGAGAAUUUUUAGUGAAACAAGAUGAGUGAUUCUAGAGCAUUUAUUUUCAGUAAAUUUUAACUCAAUUUUAUACUAUAUAUACUAUGCUAUUUGUACUAGAAGUAUUUGUAAUUUUAGUUAAUAUUGAUAAUUUAUUUUGGUGAAGAGAAAUUUCAUGAACCUAUCUAUUCUGACACCUCUCUAUCAUGACAAAGAGAUAUAUAAAUAAUUUAAAAAAUUAACUCCUUUUCAAUUGCAACAAAAACAAAAAUUGACAAAUGAAGUCUAAUCAAUCUAAAGAGCUUCUGCAUAGCAAAAAAACCUAUCAACCAAGUAAACAGACAACCUAAAGAAUGAAAUAAAUUUUUUGGAAACUAUGCAUCUGAAAAAGAUCUAAUAUCCAGCAUCUAUAAGAAACUUAAAAAAAAUCUACUAGAUUAAAACAAACAAUCCCAUUAAAAAGUGGGCAAAUGACAUGAACAGACACUUUUCAAAAGAAGGCAUACCUGUGGCCAAUGAGCAUAUUAAAAAAGCUUAAUAUCACUGAUCAUAAGAGAAAUGCAAAUUAAAACCACAGUGAGAUACCAUCUCACACCAGUUAGAAUUGUUAUUAUUAACAACAAAACAUAGCAGGUAUUGGCAAGGUUUUGGAGAAAAAGGAACACUUAUACACUGUUUGUGGGUGUGUUAACUAGUUCAACCAUUGUGAAAGGCAGUGUGGUGAUUGCUCAAAGACCUAAAAACAGAAAUACCAUUCAACCCAGCAAUCCCAUGACUGGGUAUAUAUUCAAAGUAAUAUAAAUUUUUCUGCCAUAAAACAUAUGAAUGCUUAUGUUCACUGCAGCACUAUUCACAAUAGCAAACUCAUGAAAUCAACCUAAAUGUCCAUCAAUGGUAGAAAGGAUGAAGAAAAUAUGUUAAAUAUACACCAUGGAAUACUAUGCAGCCAGAAAAAAGAAUGAGAUCAUGUCCUUUGUAUGAACAGCAAUGGAGCUGGAAGCCAUUAUCCUUAGCAAACUAACACAGGAAUAGUAAACCAAUACUGCAUGUUCUCACUUAUAAUUGGGGGCUAAAUGAUGAGAACACAUGGACACAUAGAGGGGAACAACAGACAGUGGAAGGGAGGAGGGGGAGAGGAUCAGGAAAAAUAACUAAUGGACACUAGACUUAACAUGUGGGUGAUGGAACAAUUUGUAAAACAAACCCCCAUGACAUGAGAUUACCUGUAUAACAAACCUGCACAGGUACCCCUGAACGUAAAAUGAAAGUUAAAAAAACUUCCUUUUAAAAAUUUUAUUUUAGUUUCAGUGAGUACAGGUGAAAGUUUGUUACCUGGGCAAAUUGCACGUCAGGCUUUGAUGUACAAAUUGUUCACCCAACUAUUGAGUAUAGUACCUGAUAUGCAUUUUUUUAAUCCUCAUCCUCCUUCCACCCCUCACCCUCACGUAAACUAUGGUGUCUAUUGUUUCCUUUUUUGUGUACACGUGUAUUCAAUAUUUAGUUCCCAUUUAUAUGCAGUGUUAGGUUUUCUGUUUCUGUGUUAAUUUGUUUAAGAUAAUAACCUCCAGUUGUAUCCAUUUCACUGAAAAUAAGGUUAUUUCAUUUUCUAAAAAAAUUACUUCCAACCAUGGUGAUGGGAUUAUUUUGUUUUUCUUUAUGCCUGCAUAGUAUUCCAUGGUGUAUAAGUACAACAUUUUCUUUAUCUAGUACACCAUUGAUAGGCAUUUAGGUUGAUUCCAUGUCUUUGCUAUUGCAAAUAGUGCUCUAUUUUUUGGAAUAGUUUCAGUGGCAAUGGUACCAGGUCUUCUUUAUAUUUUGGUAGAAUUCGGAUGUGAAUCCAUCUGCAGGAAAGUCUGGUCCAGGGCUCUUUCUGGUUGGUAGGUUUUUCAUUAUUGAUUUAUUACUGAUGUUCAUUAUUGAUCAUAUUUCUCAUUUGUUUAUGAAGAUUAGUUUGGCCGGAUAUAAAAUUCUUGGUUGAAAUUAUCUUUAAGAAUGAUGAAUAUGGGCUCCAAUCUCUUCUGACUUGUACAGAUUCUCCUGAAGAAUUUGCAAGUUUCUUGAUGGGGUUUUCUUUUGUGAGCAACCUGUCCCUUCUCUGCAGCUCUUUUAUAUAUAUAUAUAUUUCAUUGACCUUGGGGAAUCUGAUUUCUAUGUGUCUUGGAAAUGGUCAUCUUGCAGGGGUUCUUUGUAUUUUCUCAAUUUGAAUGUGAACUUUUCUAGUAUGCUUCAGAAAAUUUUCAUAGACAAUAUGCUUAAAUAUGUUUUCCAAGUUGCUUUUUGUCUCUGUGUCUCUUUCAGGAAUGCCAAUUCUUUGUAGGUCUGGUCUCUACAUAAUUCUAUAUUUCUUGGAGGUAUUGUUUAUUUUAAAAAGAAUUAAAAUUUCUUUCUGAUAGAGUUGAUUUGAAGAACUGGCCUUAAAAUCUUAUUCUAUUUUGCUCAUCUUAGUCUGUCUUCCUGUUAAUAAUUUCUGAUUGUAUUACAGAAUUCUUGUAGUGAGUAUUUCAGCUCUUAUGAUCAGUUUUGUUCUUUCUUAAAAUGGCUAUUUUGUCUUUCAGUUGUUGAAUCAUUUUUGGAUUCCUUAUAUUCCUUGGAUUUUGUUUUGACUUUCUCCUGAAUUUCUGUGAUCUUUGUUUCCAUCCAGAUUCUAAAUUCUGUUUGUCGUUUCAGCCAUUUUGGUCUGGUUAAAAACCAUUGCUAGGGAGCUAGUGCAGUUGUUUGGGGAUAAGAAGACAUUCUGGCUUUUAGAGUUUCAGAGUUCUUGCACUGGUUGUUUUGUAUGUGUGUGGGCUGAUGUUCAUUUAAUCUUUGAAGUCGCUCUUCUUUGUAUGGUGCUUUUUGCUUGUAUUUUCUUUGGUGUCCUUGAAGGUUUGACUGGUAUAAGUUGGGUUUAGUUGAUGGCCUUCAUUUCUAGAUGAUUCAGGGGGCCAACAUUCAGCUCUGCACUACUGGGCUGUGUAAUUUAACCAUGGGUAGAUGGUACCAGGCCUGUGAUUUUGUUCUCUGUCUCCUCCAGGUUAAGCACCUGCUGUGCUGGAUGGGCCAAGGUGCUCCCUGUCUGGUGGCAACAAUACUCCAAUGGGAGUGCUGGCGAAAGUGAUUCAUUUGAGUAGUGGCAGUGGGUUCCAUGCAUGCAUGCAUGCUUGUGUCAGCAGGAUCGGUGUGCAAGUGUGUAUCCAAGCAGUGGCAUGGCAUUGACAUGGUCGGGUCUGCAAGUGCACACAGUCUCCACUGGCAGAGUGCAGUGGGGUCUGCACAUGUGUGCACACCACCAGCAGCAGCAUGGCAGUGUUCACAUGUGCAUGUGCCAGCACAUCUGUAGGGGAGACUGUGGGUGAGUGCACAUCAGCAGAAGCUGCGGGUGGUGCUUAUCAGCAGAAGCUCUCUGAUGGUUAAGCAAGAUCUGUCAGUGUAGGAGCUAUGAAGUUGGCUGCUGGGAAAUGCCUCAGUUGGGCAUCUGAGUCUGUGCUACAAGCAACUAUAGCCAGGCAGGGACCCUGGGAAAGGCUGGUAGAUAGGGGGAUGCUCAGAUCACACUGGCCGCAUCCUACAGGCAACAUAACCCUAUUCUGUACAGGACUGAUAGUCAACAAAAUCCAAAUCCACCUACAUGAACAUGUUAUGCCUCAGGGAAUGGGCAUCCAUGAUGGUGCUCCACUGCAGCCAUUCUGGCACCAAAACCUCUGAGUCCCAUGCAGGCUGGAGCCCUGUCCCUGCCAACUCCCCAAGAAGCUCUUUCUGCUAGCUCAAAUGCCUGUUAGGGACAUGGGGUUUUCUGCAGCUAUGAUUCUGGAGGUUUGUGGACUCCUUCUUUACACCAAAUGCAAAAAUUAAAUCAAGAUGGAUUAAAGAUGUAAAUGUAAAACCAAAAACUAUAAAAAUCCUGGAAGACAACCUAUACAAUACUGUUCUCCACAUAGGAAUCAGCAAAGAUUUUAUGAUGAUGCCAAAAGCAAUUGCAACAAAAGCAAAAAUCAGCAGAGUAAACAAACAGCCUAUGGAAAGGAAAAUAAAUUUUGCAAUCUAUGCAUCUGACAAAGUCUAAUAUGAAGCAUCUAUAAGGAGCUUAAACAAAACUACAAGAAAAAAAAACAGACCUAUUAAAAAGUGGGCAAAAGACAUAAACAGGCACUUUUCUUCUUUUCUUUAAAUAGCUACCUUUAUUUGUAAAGUUCAUUUUUAAAAAUUUUGUAUUUCAAUAGUUUUGGCGGUACAGGUGGUUUCUGGUUACAUGUAUGUGUUCUUUAGCAGUGAUUUAGAGAUUCUGGUGCACCAUCACUAAAGCAGUAUACACUGUACUCAAUAGGUAGUCUUUUAUUCAUCACCCCAAUCCUACCUUUCCCCUUGUGUCCACAAAGCCAAUUAUAUCAUUCUUAUGCCUUUGCAUCCUCAUAGCUUAGCUCCCACUUAUAAGUAAGAACAUACAUCAUUUGGCUUUCUAUUUCUGAGUUACUUCACUUAGAAUAAUGGCCUCCGGAACUCACCACAGCACAGAAAAGCAGCUAUGGCCAGACUGCCUUACUAGAUUCCUCCCCACUGGGCAGGGCAUCUCUGAAAGAAAGGCAACAGCCCCAGUCAGAGGCUUAUAGAUAAAAUUCCCAUCUCCCUGGGACAGAACACCUGGGGGAAGGGGAGGCUGUGGGCGCAGCUUCAGCAGACUUAAAUGUUCCUGCCAGACGGCUCUGCAGAGAGCAGCGUAUCCUGACAAGGAGGAUUCUCCCAGCACAGAACGGGAGCUCCACUAAGGGACAGACUGCUUCCUUAAGUGGGUCCCUGACCCCCGUGCCUCCCGACUGGGAGACAGCUCCCAGCAGGGGUCAGCAGACACCUUAUACAAGAGAGCUCCAGCUGGCAUCUGGCAGGUGCCUCUCUGAGACAAAGCUUCCAGAUGAAGGAGCAGGCAGCAGUCUUUGCUGUUCUGCAGCCUCUGCUGGUGAUACCCAGGCAAACAGGGUCUGGAGUGGACCUCCGGCAAACUACAGCAGACAUGCAGAAAAGGGGCCUGAUUGUUAGAAGAAAAACUAAAAAACAAAAAGUAAUAACAUCAACAUCAAAGAAAAAGAAGGAACCCCAUUUAAAAAAACCCAUCCAGGCAUGGCUGGCAAUAUGGCUAAACAAGAACAGUUCUGAUCUGCAGCUCCCAGCAAGGUCAACACAAAAGGAGGGUGAUUUCUGCAUUUCCAACUGAGUUACCUGGCUCAUCUCAUUGGGACUGGUUAGACAGUGGAUGCAGCCCAUGGAGGGUGAGCAGAAACAGGGUGGGGCAUCACCUCACCCAGGAAGUGCAAGGGGUUGAGGAACUCCCUCCCCUAGCCAAGGGAAGCUGUAAGGGACUGUGCCAUGAAGAAUGGUGCAUUCCAACCCACAUACUAUGCUUUUCCCAUGGUCUUUGCAACCCACAGACCAGGAGAUUCCCUCGGUGCCUACACUACCAAGGCCCUGCAUUUCAAGCACAAAACUGGGCAUCUGUGUGGGCAGAAACUGAUCUAGCAGCAGGAGUUUCUUUUCGUAACCUAGUGACGCCUGGAAUGCCAGUGAGAUGGAACCAUUCACUUCCCUGGAAAGGGGGCUGAAGCCAGAGAGACAAGUGGCCUAGCUCAGUGGAUCCCACCCCCGGAAAGCCCAGCAAGCUAAGAUCCGUGAAAUUCUUGCUGCCAGCACAGCAGUAUGAAGUCAAUCUGGGAUGCUCCAGGUUGGUGGGGGGAGGGGUGUCCACUAUUACUAAGGCUUGAGUAGGCGGUUUUCCAAUCACAGCAUAAACAAAGCUGCCAGGAAGUUCAAACUGGGUGAAGCCCACCACAGCUUGGCAAAGCCACUGUAGCCAGACUGCCUCUAGAUUCCUCCAUUCUGGGCAGGGCAUCUUUGAAAGAAACACAGCAGCCCCAGUCAGGGGCUUAUAGAUAAAACUUUCAUUUCCCUGGGACAGAGAACCUGGGAAAGGGGUGGCUGUGGGCGCAACUUCAGCAGACAAAUGUUCCUGCCUGCCAGCUCUGAAGAGAGCAGCACAUCUCCCAGCACAGCACUCGAGCUCUGCUAGGGACAGACUGCCUCCUCAACUGGGUCCAUAACCCCCAUGCCUCCUGACUGUGAGGCACCUCUCAGAAGGAGUCAACAGACACCUCAUAUAGGAGAGCUCUGGCUGACAUCUGGAGGGUGCCCCUCUGGGAUGAAGCUUCCAGAGGAAGGAAAAGGCAGCAAUCUUUGCCAUUCUGCAGCCUCUGCUGGUGAUACUCAGGCAAACAUGGUCUGGAGUGGACCUACAGCAGUCUCCAGCAGACCUGCAGCAGAGGGGCCUGACUGUUAGAAGGAAAACUAACAAACAGAAAGGAAUAAUAUCAACAUCAACAAAAACAACCACACCAAAACCCCAUCCAAAGGUCACCAACAUCAAAGACCAAAGGUAGACAAAUCUAUAAAGAUAGAGAGAAACAAGCGAAAAAAGGCUGAAAAUUGCAAAAACUAGAAGGCCUCUUCUCCUCCAAAGGAUCACAAUUCCUUUUCAGCAAGGGAACAAAACUGAACAGAGAAUGAAUUUGACAAAUUGACAGAAGUAGGCUUCAGAAGGUGGAUAAUAACAAACUCCUCUGGGCUAAAGGAGCAUGUUCUAACCCAAUGCAAAAAAGCUAAGAAGCUUGAAAAAAAGGUUCGUUGAAUUGCUAACUAGGAUAACCAGUUUAGAGAACAUAAAUGACCUGAUGGAGCUGAAAAACAUAGCAUGAGAACUUCGUGAAGCAUACGCAAGUAUCAAUAGCUGAAUCAAUCAAGCAGAAGAAAGGACAUCGAGGUUGAAGAUCAUCAUAAUGAAAUAAAGCGUGAAGACAAGAUUAGAGAAAAAAGAAUAAAAAGAAACGAACAAAGUUUCCAAAGUAUAUGGGACCAUGUGAAAAGACCAAACCUAUGUUUGAUUGGUGUACCUGAAAGUGAUGGGGAGAAUGGAACCAAGUUGGAAAACACUCUUCAGGAUAUUAUCCAGGAGAACUUCCCCAACCUAGAAAGACAGGCCAACAUUCAAAUUCAGGAAAUGCAGAGAACACCACAAACAUACUCCUCGAGAAGAGGAACCCCAAGGCACAUAAUCGUCAGAUUCACCAAGGGUGAAAUGAAGGAAAAAAUUAUCAGGUCAGCCAGAGAGAAAGGUCGGGUUACCCACAAGGGAAUCCCAUCAGACUAACAGCAGAUCUCUGUUAGUCAGAAGAGUGGGGCCAAUAUUCAACAUUCUUAAAUAAGAGAAUUUUCAACCCAGAAUUUCAUAUCCAGCCAAACUAAUCUUCAUAAGUGAAGGAGAAAUAAAAUCCUUUACAGACAAGCAAAUUCUGAGAGAUUUUCUCACCACCAGGCCUGCCUUCCAAGAACUCCUGAAGGAAGCCCUAAACAUGAAAAGGAACAUCUGGAACCAGCCACUGCAAAAACAUACCAAAUUGUAAAGACCAUGGACACUAUGAAGAAAUUGCAUCAAUUAACGGACAAAACAGUGAGCAAGCAUCAUAAUGACAGGUUCAAAUUGACCCAUAACAAUAUUAACCUUAAAUGUAAAUGGGUUAAAUGCCCCAGUUAAAAGACACACACUGGCAAAUUGGAUAAAGAGUCAAAACCCAUUGGUGUGCUGUAUUCAGGAGACCCAUCUCACAUGCAAAGAAACACAUAGGCUCAAAAUAAAAGGAUGGAGGAAUAUUUACCAAGGAAAUGGAAAACAAAAAAAAAGCAAACAUUGCAAUCCUAGUCGCUGAAAAAAACAGACUUUAAACCAACAAAGAUCAAAAGAGACAAAGGAGGGCAUUACAUAAUGGUAAAGGGAUCAAUGCAACAAGAAGAGCUAACUAUCCUAAGUAUACAUGCACCCAAUACAGGAGCAACCAGAUUAUAAACCAAGUUCUUAGAGACCUACAAAGAAACUUAGACACCCACACAAUAAUAGUGGGAGACUUUAACACCCCAUUGUUAAUAUUGGACAGAUCAGUGAGACAAAAUUAACCAGGAUAUUCAAGACUUGAACUCUGCUCUAGACCAAGCAGGCCUAAUAGACAUCUACAGAACUCUCCACCCCAAAUCAACAGAAUAUACAUUCUUCUCAGCACCACAUCACACUUAUUCUAAAAUUGACCAAAUAAUUGAAAGUAAAACACUCCUCAGGAAAUGCAAAACAAUGGAAAUCAUAUCAAACAGUCUCUCAGACAACAGGGUAAUCAAAUUAGAACUCAGGAUUAAGAAACUCACUCGAAACCCCACAACUUGGAAACUGAACAACCUGCUUCUGAAUGACUACUGGGUAAAUAAUGAAAUAAAGACAGAAAUAAAUAAGUUAUUUGAAACCAAUAAGAACAAAAACACAAUGUGGCAGAAUCUGUGGGACACAGCUACAGCCAUGUUUAGAGGGAAAAUUAUAGCACUAAAUGCCCACAAGAGAAAGUGGGAAAGAUCUAAAAUUGAAAACCUAACAUCACAAUUAAACGAUCUAGAGAAGCAAGAACAAACAAAUUCCAAAGCUAUCAGAAGACAAGAAAUAACUAAGAUCAGAGCAAAACUGAAAGAGAUAGAGACAUGAAGAACCCUUUGAAAAAUCAAUGAAUCCAGGAGCUGUUUUUUUUAAAGAUCAACAAAAUAGAUAAUCUGCUAGCCAGACUAACAAACAAGAAGAGAAAGAAGAAUCAAAUAGGUGCAAUAAAAAAUGCUAUAGGGGAUAAACUACUGAUCCCACAGAAAUAAAAACUUCCAUCAGAGAAUACUAUAAACACCUCUAUGCAAAUAUACUAGAAAAUCUAGAAGAAAUGGAUAAAUUCCUGGACACAUAAACCCUACUAAGUCUAAACCAGAAAGAAGUCGAAUCCCUGAAAAGACCAAUAACAAGUUCUGAAAUUGAUGCAGUAAUUAAUAGCCUAACAACCAAAAAGAGUCCAGGAUCAGAUGGAUUCACAGCCGAAUUCUACCACAGGUGAAAAGAGGAGCUGGUAGCAUUCCUUCUGAAACUAUUCCAAACAAUAGAAAAAAAGGGAAUCCUCCUUAACUCAUUUUAAGAGGUCAGCAUCAUCCUGAUACCAAAACCUGGCAGAAACAAAACCAAAAAAGAAAUUUCAGGCCAAUAUCCCUGAGGAAUAUGUGAAAAUUCUCAAUAAAAUACUAGCAAGCCAAAUCCAGCAGCACAUCAAAAAGCUUAUCGACCAUGAUCAAUUCGGCUUCAUCCCUGGGAUGCAAGGCUGGUACAACAUACCUGAAUCAAUUUUAAUGCAAUCCAUCACAUAAACUGAAUCAAUGACAAAAACCAGAUUAUCUCAAUAAUACUGGGUAUAUAUACAGCAUUGCAUAAUAAAAAUCAUGCUUUGUUAUUAUUCAAUAACAAAGUAAGUCUUGUGGCACUGUGCCUUAAAAGUGUGGCAUUAAAAGUCCACUUAAUUCUUCCUUUCUUUUCUUGACAUGGUGAGUAUGCAGUAAAAAUAAUUGUGGGUUGGUGAUAUAUGGGACACUCAAAACACUUUUGAGUUGUGACUGCAUCACUGCAAUUUUUAGUGGGUUGAGCUGCAGUGCAAAGUGACAUUGGGUCAGUUUUGCAGCUACUCAAUACUGUCAGUGUGGCUGAAAACAGCUAUGCAUAAUAUAAAAACAAAUCCAUAUGGCUAGGUAUAAAAACUUUAUGAGGAAUGAAAUUUUUAUUUUAUAUACUUUUCAUAUUUUAUAAAAUAUUAUUUUAUUAAUCAUUAAAAAUGUAAAAGCCAUUCUUAGCUAAUGGGUAAUAUAAGAAUAUAUAGCAGGCCAUGCUUGACAUAUAGUUUGUAAUUUGCUAAUUUCUCUUUUAGAAAACUGUGAUAUACUAGUUUAGGUUAAUAAUUGUUGAGAAGAUUUACAGAGGCUCUGAGGGAAAAGAACAGAUAAUGCAUUGGAAGAAAUAAGGAUAAGUUACAUAUUAGACUCACUUUAAUACAAAUAAGAAAAGUUUUUUUUACCUUCUUUAUUAUGACAGAAAAACAGAAUGAUCAAACAGGCUUCCACUCAAGAGAUACUGUCCUGCAAGUGAGGCAUUUGAAUAGUAUAAAAUUAGAAGGAUGUGAAGGAAGAGGGGUAGUGUAUUAACAUAUCAAUUUUAAAAUACAGCCAUUUAAAGAAGAGUUUCUCUCUCUCUCUCCCUCCAUCCCUCUCUCUCUCUCUCUUAACAGCACCAGAGCAGGCCAUUUAUCUGUGUUCUUGUGGCACUUUAACUAUAUAAGGCCAUUCAGAAAAUGAUUCAUGCUUUUUUUAUCUUGUUUGUCUACCAUUCUGUACAAUGUGGUCUUCAUCUGUAUGAUCAAAGGCAAAUCACCACCAUAUUUGUAUUCCAGGCUGUAAGACAGGGAGAAGUAAAAGACCAGGACAAGUGACUUUAACUAAGUAAUACACAUCGCUUUCAUUCACAUCUCAUCAGCCAGGACAAAAUCAGAUGACCACACCUAGCUGCAUGGGAGGCAAUAAACUUGUCUCUAGUUAAGUGGUCAUAGGCGAGUGCUUCAAACGUGUUUUCCCUAUUACUGAAAGAGAGUGUUGUAGAUGAGAGACCGAAGAUACAGUCUCUUUUUACUUGAUAAAAGUGGUAAAUUUUCUUCAACAGAAUUUCUAUUUUACUUCUUAAUAAAUUUAUUAGAAGUGUUUUACAGAAAUUUUCAGAUCAUUUAUUUAUUUAAUGAGUCAAACACGCAUGAACAGGCACUCUUCCAAAUAAUCCAAAUAAAGUAUCUAGCUAGAUGACAUAUUUACUCACAUGGAGCUAACAUUCUAGAGAAGAACAUAUAGAAUAAACAAAGAUUCAAUUUAAUAAAAAUGUUAAGAACAAUGACAUUUAGAUAAGUUGGGUUAAUAAUCAGAUUACUGAGUAGCAAAAUUGUAAGUGGAAACAUGCAAAACUUUAAAGCUAGUUCUGGCUCUUGCACCAACAGGUAAUUUUCUGCAUUUGUUUUUUAAUAGAUUACAUCGUUAUCUUAAGUCAUCUGAACCUAUAGAGAUACAUACAGGGAACACCUGCUAGGAGUAAGGUUAGGCAAAGAAAUUCAGUUGUGUCUUUCUCAUGUUGAUCCAUCUGAUAAAAGAAUAGCUAGAAUAGAUAGAUAAAGAAUAGCAAUUUUUGCACUAUAAAUCUAAUAAUGUGGGCCAGGCAUGGUGGCUCACGCCUGUAAUCCCAGCUGUUUGGGAGGCGGAGGCGGGUGGAUCACCUGAGGUCGGGAGUUUGAGAACAGCCUGAUCAACAUGGAAAAACCCCAUUUCUACUAAAAAUACAAAAUUAGCCAGGCUUGGUGGUGCAUGCCUGUAAUCCCAGAUACUGGGGAGGCUGAGGUAGGAGAAUCGCUUGAACCCGGGAGGCGGAGUUUAUGGUGAGCCAAGAUCACGCCAUUGCACUCCAGCCUGGGCAACAAGAGCAAAGCUCCGUCUCAAAAAAAAAAAAAAAAAAAAAAAAAAAUCGAAUAGUGUGUCUUUUUUUUUUUUUUUUUUUUUUCUGUUAAGCAUGUGAACGUUGGAAUGCUGGAGAUGACCUUUGUACUAUUUGGUACUUGAGUCUUUUUAAUUAUCUUCUUUGCUUAUUCCAAGAAGAAGUUUAGAUAUUCCCUUAUUUGGGCUUCACAUAAUAUGUCUGCCUAAUUCUGCCAAUAUGUACCAAAGUGUAUUUUGCACUUUUAUGAAAAAUAGAGAAGGUUCAAUGAUGGCCUAAGACAUAGAGUGCUUUUGUGAUGUAGUUUUAAGUUAUAUAUGUCAUUUUACAAAAUACUAUGUGAAUUUCCAAACUUUGGAAGUAAAAUUUGUCUAGAUAUUGAAAUAUGAGUUUGGAGCCAAAGAAUGUUUUUUAAAUAAGAUUGUUAUCAUAGUGCUAUUGUGGCAGGCCAGGUCUCCAUUAGCAACCAGAACAGUCAGUUUCCACUAACCCUUUACUAUAGUUCUGAUGAAUGUAUAAGUUAAACAUUAAAGAAUUGGAGAAACUAGUGCUUUAGUACAAGGGCUGGGAUGUGAAAACAAAACCAUUAAGACCUUGCCUGGGUUUUCUCAGAACUUAAAGCCUGAUAAAAUAAUGAAGGCAUUCUUACACACACCUUGUUCCAGGGCCCAUUAAGAUUAACAAAUUUUUCCAAGGCUCUGAAUUAAACUUCCAGGCCCCAGACCCUAGUUAAAGAUUAGAUUGAGUGAAACACUCCUGUUUAUAGUUGCACACGUGCAUGCAGGCAUAUAGCUUGAAUGUAUUAAUGUAUAAGCAAGUGCUGAAAAAAAUCUUGUAACUUUGGGUUGGUCUGGUGAACUACCCUGACCUUCUCCUUAUGGCCAGUUACAGAAAUAAACUCUCUUCUUUCCCAGUCUGUCUGUAACUCGUUAAUUGGACCAUGAGACCAAGUAGCUGGACUCCAGUUUUUUCUGGGUAUACUAUGUUUGCUUGACUUUUGAUAUGCUGGGUUCUUUGAAUAUGCAAAUGUCUUUAUUUAAAAUCCAUUUUAAUUUCCCUGCUGAAGCCAUUGAAGGAAGGCCACAGAUUGGAUGAAUCAUGAAGACUAAUAUUUUACUUGAUUUAGGAGGAAUGCAGUUCAAAAUGACUAUUGCUUAGAGAUUCUGGUCACAAUAAAUAUAACCUUGACUGCAUUUAAAUGGAAAGUCUUUUAUACUUCUGAAAUGGCUAGUUUAGUGUCCUAAACUAAUGUGUGGACCAUUGUAAUUUACCAUGAAGACUUCAUAAAACAAAGGCCAUAGACAUUGAACAAACUGUGAGCUUUAUUUAGAUGGCAUUUAAAAAUUUAUUUUGACAUAUCCUUGCAAAAGUGAUUGGAACCAUAAUUGGAAGUUGGAUACAGCAAUAAUUGUGAGCAAUUUAUUGUGGCAUCUCCUUACAGAGAUAUAUAUUCUAUACAACUAAACUCCUUCAAAUACUUGAAGAACAUCUGUAAGGGAUCAAAAUAUGCCAGCUCAGUUCCCUUUCUACACAUUAAGUAGAAGCUAUCAAAAAAAUAAAUUAAGAAAACCAUAUCAUUUGUAAUGGCAUCAGUAAGAAUAAAAUAGAUAGGAAUAAAUUUAACCAAGGAGGUGAAACAUUAUGGCAUUCAACACUUUAAAUGUGUGAAUUGUAUGAUAUAUGAAUUGUAUCUCAAUAAAGCUGUUUAAAUAACAAUGUACUAUAUUCUUAAAAUUUGCUAUGACAGUAGAUUGAAAGUGUUCUCACCAAAAAAAAUAGUGCGUUUGUUAGGUAAUGCAUAUGUUAAUAAGCAUGAUCUAGCCAAUCCACAAUGUAAACAUAUUUUAAGACACCAUGUUAUACACCAUUAAUAUAUAUAAUUUUUGUCUACUAAAAUAAUUAUAAAUAAUUAAAAAACAGGAGAUAUUACAAUUGAUACUACAGAAUUACAAAAGUUCACACUAGUUGAGUAUGAACAAUUGUACACCAACAAAAAAGAUAACCUAGAAGAAAUAAAAAAAAAACUAAGAAACAUUCAACCUAAAAAGACUGAAUCAUGAAGAAAUAGAAAAUAUGAACAGACUAACAAUUAUUAAGGAGAUUGAAUCAAUAAUCAAAACUUUCCCAACAAAUAGAAUCCCAGGACCUGAUGGCUUCCCUGGUGAAUUAUACCAAACAUCUAAAGAAGAAUUAAAAUCUAUCUUCUCAAACACUUCCAAAAAAUUCAUUAGGAGAUAACACUUCCAAACUCAUUUUGCAAGGCCAGUAUUAGUCCAAAGCCUGACAAGGAUACUACAAGAAAAGAAAAUAUAGGUGAAUAUCCCUGAUGAACAAAACACAAAAAUUCUCAACAAAACGCUGGCCAACUGAAUUCAAAUGCAUAUUAAAAGGAUCAUACAACAUAAUCAAGUGGAAUUUAUUUCUGGGAUAAAUGGAUGGUUCAUUAUAUGCAAAACAAAUAAAUGUGAUACAUUACUUUAAAAGAAUCAAAAACAAUAACCAUAUGAUUAUCUUAAUAGAUGCAGUGAAAGCGUUUAAUAUAAUUCAACAUCUUUACAUGAUAAAAUCUCUCAAAAAACUAGAGUUAGUAGGAAGGUACCUCAACACAACAAAGGCCAUAUACCCCAAGUCAACAGCUAACCUCAUACUAAGUGGUAAAAUGCUGAAAGUUUCUCCUCUAAGAUCAGGAACAAGACAAGGAUUCUCACUGAUGCCAAUUCAAUUCAACGCAGUACUAAAAGUCUUAAUCAGAGUAGUUAGGCAAGAGAAAGAAACAAAGUCAUCCAAAUUGGAAACGAGUUAAAAUGUCUCUGUUUGCAGGUGACAUGAUCUUAUAUACAGAAAUCCCUAAAGACCCCACCAAAAACUGUUAAAACUAACAAAUUCCAUGAAGCUGCUGAACAAAAAAUCAGUUCUCUUUCUAUACACUAGAUAGAAACUAUUCAAAAAAGAAAUGAAGAAAAUCAUGAGAGUCGCUUCCAAGACGGCCGAAUAGGAACAGCUCUGGUCUACAGUUCCCAGUGAGAUCGACACAGAAGAUGGGUGAUUUCUGCAUUUCCAACUGAGUUACCUGGUUCAUCUCACUAGGAAUGGUUGGAGAGUGGGUGCAGCCCAUGGAAGGUGAGCCAAAGUGGGGGGUGGGGGAGUGUUGCCUCACCCAGGAAGUGCAAGGGGUCAGGGGAUUUCCCUUUCCUAGCCAAGGGAAGCCAUGAGUGACUGUACCUGGAGGAGCGGUACACUCCUUUCCAAAUGCUGUGCUUUUCCCAUGGUCUUCACAACCAACAGACCAGGAGAUUCCUGGAGACCUGCAGACCAGGAGACCUGCCUGGCUUGGUGGUUCCCACACCCACAGAGCCUUGCUCGCUGCUAGUGAAUCAAUCUGAGAUUAACCUGGGAUGCUGAAGUUUGGCAGGGGGAGGGGCG
rnacentral:lncRNA from 1 species